rnacentral:misc_RNA from 1 species
AAAAAAAAAAUUAUCACUUCCAUCUGCUAGUCUCUACCAAAGAGUUCAAUAAAACUAGCAAAGAAGCUGAUACGAGCUGGUCAUUGCAUUCAAGGGUUCCAAAUGCAGAAUUCUGGGGAAAAAAAUGAACUUCUAGGGAAAGGCAACAAAACAAGUUUUCAGAUUUGAGAUUGGAAAGGGAAUCUUCAAUUCAAUGGUUGCCAUUAUUUCAAUUUAGUAAUACAUGCCCAGUGGAAAUACC